rnacentral:rRNA from 1 species
UGGGGAAUUUUGGACAAUGGGCGAAAGCCUGAUCCAGCAAUGCCGCGUGUGUGAAGAAGGCCUUCGGGUUGUAAAGCACUUUUGUCCGGAAAGAAAUCCUUGGCUCUAAUACAGUCGGGGGAUGACGGUACCGGAAGAAUAAGCACCGGCUAACUACGUGCCAGCAGCCGCGGUAAUACGUAGGGUGCAAGCGUUAAUCGGAAUUACUGGGCGUAAAGCGUGCGCAGGCGGUUUUGUAAGACGGAUGUGAAAUCCCCGGGCUUAACCUGGGAACUGCAUUCGUGACUGCAAGGCUAGAGUAUGGCAGAGGGGGGUAGAAUUCCACGUGUAGCAGUGAAAUGCGUAGAGAUGUGGAGGAAUACCGAUGGCGAAGGCAGCCCCCUGGGCCAAUACUGACGCUCAUGCACGAAAGCGUGGGGAGCAAACAGGAUUAGAUACCCUGGUAGUCCACGCCCUAAAACGAUGUCAACUAGUUGUUGGGGAUUCAUUUCCUUAGUAACGUAGCUAACGCGUGAAGUUGACCGCCUGGGGAGUACGGUCGCAAGAUUAAAACUCAAAUGAAUUGACGGGGUCAUAGCUGUUUCCU